GCGGCCCGGGCCGGGCGUGGAGCUGGCGUUCUCUUUUCACUCUUCCUUGUGUGCCACACACGUUCUCUCGCUAGAUGGUGACGAGGGAAGAACCGGGUCUCUCCUGUCAACAGAAUUGGUGCUGAAACCCUGGACCGAGACUUGGGUCCCGCCCUUUGUCUCCAGCCGUUGGGAACGUUUGGGACGCAGGAGAAGCCGGCUGUGUUGACGCAGACCUCUCCCCAGACCAGCAGAGGAGUCCAAGCUCCACCCACACUGUGGGCCAGCAAGGACCUCGUCAGCAUGAGGACUUUUCCACAGGACUACUCUUGCAUCUGAUAAGUAGCUUUCUAUUUUACCCCUUAACCCCUUUCGCUUAUCUUCAGCCGUUGGCACCAGAACAGUGGGGAACCGUCUCCAUUACUCUGGACGAAAAGACUGUAUAUUCCAGCCCAUGGGGCAUUACAGCUACUCAGAACGUUGCUAAGCUACUGCCCAGGACUUGCUCCCGAGCAGUCAGCGCUCCCCUAGCGGGCCUGUGUUGUGUCGUUAACCACCCACAGGUCAGCCACCCCUUCUGCAUCGUCAGUAACGCUCCAGGAGGCUCGCCUGUGGGAGGGCUUGCUGACAGCCAGUGCCGACAAAAGUUUCUCAUCUCGGAGCCCCCGCUCACAAACACCACUCGUGGAAUUCCCCUCAGCACAGCACCCUACAUCUCUGGGGGCGUUCCUAACCCGCGGGACAAAACGAACUUCAUACACACCCGCGUUCCAAAGCCAGCUGUCCCUGGCCUGCCUUUGGACAAAAACUCACCAAGAACAGCUUACUGCCAAGGCAGGCCGUCCUACCCAGUUAAUGAAUUCCUCCCACAGGAAGAGGAGGACUGCAUCACUCUGCACCGCGGCUCUCAGGCUGCCGUGCAUUUAGGAAUGACGAGGGGUGCUCUCUUUACUGAAUUUGUACAUAAACCAGAUUUCCACAGUCCCAUAAUAGACGCCCUGGCUGCAGCCUCGCUGGCAGCACAAGGAUUGCAGUGGUGGAGGACUAAAUACCCACGGACCAAACCGCUAGUCAAAGGCAGAUGCGUCUCUGUAGAAACCCAGCAGGUCAAGCCGGCAGAGAUCGCUCUGAUGGCAGAAAUACUGAAUUCGACAGGAAUCUAUUGGAUCUGGGGGCCCCGGCCAUACCACACCCUCCCUCCACAGUGGAGGGGAAUCUGCUCCCUCAGGUAUGUUUCCAAGGGUCACUUCCCUGCACCUCCUCUGACCAACGUGCAGCAUCCCCGGCGGUCUCAGACAUUCUUCUCCAGCUCCCAGAUAGGACAGGGCAAGAGUUUUGUGGUUCUCAGCAGGCAGGGUCAACUGUCCCAUCCAAGCCUGAAGCAGCUAUGGAAGACAGACCUUCAACCCUCAGCAACCUGAGAAGGAAUUUCUGAGCACCAUGUCUCGGGGGAAAUGAGGCAGGAGACAGCACGGGAAGAGCUCUGAGACCGCGCUGCAGUUUCUGGCCAGUGGUUGGCGUCCUGGUUGCCAGGACGUGCCUUUUAUCACUUAGGUAGAAUGAAUAGCAAACCGAGGCAGGGAGGAGGGAGCCAUGUCUCCACGACUAACUCGGCUGUCCUGAGCCCGGUCUGGUAAUAUUGCCAUGUAAUCCAACAGCACAAGAAACUCUCUGUUAGCAAGGAAGGAGGAAUGUCCUUGAAAUUUGAAGUAGUGUUUCCAUUAUCUGAGAAAGAAGGUCUUGAAACUGCUUUCAUCCCAAGGUCUGAAAUGCAGGAGAGGGCCCAUAGUGCCCAAAGAAGAGGCCAUAAAUAACUUUGGGUAACUGCCCCAACUUUAUUAACUGCUUCCUCCCAUGUGUCUGUUUUACAAGAUGAACAGACGGGGUCUGGAGGUACUGCCCACACCUACCUAGUUUGGGCAGUCAUGUCCCCCCCGGGUAAACUGGCACCACAUUUACCUGUCAAUCAGUAUGUAACUUUUUUGUAAUCCACCAACUGUGUAAGUCCUCGGAGCAAAGGGCUAGUUCUCUGGGCGCUCUUGGCGCUCUGGCUGCCCGGCUGCAGGCCACCCAGGGGCUGGCCACCCUGGUCUACAGCCCCCCGUGCUUUUGCCGCCCUGCUUUGCCCUGAACUUCUGGCCUUCGCCCCCCGCCCUCGCGAGGCCCGUUCUCUCGCACGGGAAUGGAUCGCUAAUAGACUGAUUGCACGCUACCAGAUUCGCUGACCUGUACUUCUUUACAUGGGUCUGUAAGAGGAACCAGUGCUCUCCCCUCGACACCGGGACCGGAAGGGUGGGAAAGUGAGAGCAGGUGGGGCUCUGCAGAUGCCCUGCGGGACAGGAAGGUAGAUGACGUCCCACUACCUCCACCCGUCAUCUUUCUAAAGAGGUUUGUGCACAUUAGCUUUUCAUCUUUUGAAAGAAAAAAGAAAGAUUAUAGAAAAGUGGAAUGUUGGAGUUCGAAGUCCUUAAUUGUAAAGGUCCUUUUUGCUAAGUUUUUAUU